GUACAACAUAAGAUGGAGGGGUAGUAGUGUUGUCUGGAUCAGGUGGCAACCCAGCAACAAGAUCCAUUGGCUCUGUAAUUUCCCAUCCGAACAACAUCAUAUUAGGCGUCAGGCCCAUAGAGCUGUGCUUGGUAGCGCGGUAAGCCAAGACUGCAUAUGGUGUCAUAAUGUCCCAGUCCCAAUGACAUCAUUCUGCAGUGGUGGCUAUGAUUUUCUGCAGGGUGGCAUUGAAACGCUCUACUUGGCCAUCUGACUGUGGGCAAAACGGCGUGGUACGUGUCUUGUCGAUUCUCAGCAGCUCACACAUUUCCUGGAACACAGCUGACAGCUAUGUAGGCACUGUGGAGCUCCUUACCUACACACCCACUCGGAAACAAUCUUUUCAGCCACUGUCAUUGCUUGUUCGUUAGGAACAGGAUAGGCUUCCACCCAUUUGCUAAAGUAGUCCUGUACCACUAUUAUGUGGUACAGGACAGCAUGGCUGUCGUAUGCCUCUAGUUUGAGCUCCGUCACGUUAUUUCUCUAUCGUCUAUUUUUUUAUUGUUGAAAUCUAUUUUAUACACCAUCAUUUUCGUUUCUAUAACGUGUGAAUAUAUCCUCUAUCGUAUUCUACAACAAAAACAAUCAGAGCGCCUUGUUAUCACUAGUUUUAUUUUGAUUUCCCGAGUCCGCUAGUAGCUUAUAGCCCAUUAGCAUCACCAGCGUGGUUGUCGCUAAACCCGCGUGCAUCGCUAAUACUCUAUUCACACACAUUACAAUUGCUUUACUCACUGUUACUUGCUUUAAUGGCGGAUGUAUAUCUACCUUUGAGUGCAGGUGACGACACGUUCGAGCUGCAUUCGGUGCAGCUCGAGCUGGAGGCCGUGGAGAAGCAGAUUCGGGUCCUGGAGCAGAGGCAGGCCCAGCUGAGAGAGCGGAGAGCCACGCUGGAAACCUCCCGGGCUGACGCUCACAAGUCCAGGGCCCGGUGCACCCAGGACGCGAUCUGCCCAGAUGUCCUUCACGCCGGCGC
ensembl:lncRNA